CGUAGGUGAACCUGCGGAAGGAUCAUUAAUGAGUUGUCAUGGGGUUCGAUGCUGGCAGCCAAUUUUUGGAUGCAUGUGCUUGCCCUAACAAUCAUCUUCCAAACACCUGUGCACAUUUUUUGAGGGAGUCUUGAGUUGGUUGCCGCUCUUGGGUGAUUUUCUCACAUUCCCUUAAAUCAUUAUACGCUAUUAACAAUGUUGAACGUGCUCUGUGCCGCAAGGCUAUUAAUAUAAUACAACUUUUAACAACGGAUCUCUUGGCUCUC
rnacentral:misc_RNA from 1 species